rnacentral:rRNA from 1 species
ACUCCUACGGGAGGCAGCAGUGGGGAAUAUUGGACAAUGGGGGCAACCCUGAUCCAGCAAUGCCGCGUGUGUGAAGAAGGCCUGCGGGUUGUAAAGCACUUUCGUUGGGGAGGAUGGUGCGCAGUUCAAAUAGGGCUGCGUAUUGACGUUACCCAAAGAAGAAGCACCGGCUAACUCUGUGCCAGCAGCCGCGGUAAUACAGAGGGUGCAAGCGUUAAUCGGACUGACUGGGCGUAAAGGGCGUGUAGGCGGCCCGUUAAGUCGGGUGUGAAAUGGCAGGGCUUAACCUUGUCAGGUCACUCGGACUGGCGAGCUAGAGAGCAGGAGAGAAAGGGGAAUUCCGGUGUAGCGGUGAAAUGCGUAGAUAUCGGAAGGAACACCAGUGGCGAAGGCGCCUUUCUGGCCUACCUCUGACGCUGAGGCGCGAAAGCGUGGGUAGCAAAC